rnacentral:rRNA from 1 species
AUUGAACGCUGGCGGCAGGCCUAACACAUGCAAGUCGAACGGUAACAGGAAACAGCUUGCUGUUUCGCUGACGAGUGGCGGACGGGUGAGUAAUGUCUGGGAAACUGCCUGAUGGAGGGGGAUAACUACUGGAAACGGUAGCUAAUACCGCAUAACGUCGCAAGACCAAAGAGGGGGACCUUCGGGCCUCUUGCCAUCGGAUGUGCCCAGAUGGGAUUAGCUAGUAGGUGGGGUAACGGCUCACCUAGGCGACGAUCCCUAGCUGGUCUGAGAGGAUGACCAGCCACACUGGAACUGAGCCACGGUCCAGACUCCUACGGGAGGCAGCAGUGGGGAAUAUUGCACAAUGGGCGCAAGCCUGAUGCAGCCAUGCCGCGUGUAUGAAGAAGGCCUUCGGGUUGUAAAGUACUUUCAGCGGGGAGGAAGGGAGUAAAGUUAAUACCUUUGCUCAUUGACGUUACCCGCAGAAGAAGCACCGGCUAACUCCGUG